rnacentral:rRNA from 1 species
GAUGAACGCUGGCGGCGUGCCUAAUACAUGCAAGUCGAGCGAAUGGAUUAAGAGCUUGCUCUUAUGAAGUUAGCGGCGGACGGGUGAGUAACACGUGGGUAACCUGCCCAUAAGACUGGGAUAACUCCGGGAAACCGGGGCUAAUACCGGAUAACAUUUUGAACCGCAUGGUUCGAAAUUGAAAGGCGGCUUCGGCUGUCACUUAUGGAUGGACCCGCGUCGCAUUAGCUAGUUGGUGAGGUAACGGCUCACCAAGGCAACGAUGCGUAGCCGACCGAGGAGGGUGACCGGCCACACUGGGACUGAGACACGGCCCAGACACCUACGGGAGGCAGCAGUAGGGAAUCUUCCGCAAUGGACGAAAGUCUGACGGAGCAACGCCGCGUGAGUGAUGAAGGCUUUCGGGUCGUAAAACUCUGUUGUUAGGGAAGAACAAGUGCUAGUUGAAUAAGCUGGCACCUUGACGGUACCUAACCAGAAAGCCACGGCUAACUACGUGCCAGCCGCCGCGGUAA